UGAGGAAUUUUCCGCAAUGGGCGCAAGCCUGACGGAGCGACGCCGCGUGAGGGAUGAAGGCUUUCGGGUCGUAAACCUCUUUUGUGGGGGAAAAAGAUGUAUGUGCUCAUAACGCAUGCAUUUGAUGGUACUUCACGAAUAAGCCCCGGCUAACUACGUGCCAGCAGCCGCGGUAAUACGUAGGGGGCGAGCGUUGUCCGGAAUUACUGGGCGUAAAGGGCGUGUAGGCGGUUGGAUAAGUCUGGUGUGAAAUGUCUCGGCUCAACCGGGUCGCUGCACUGGAAACUGUCUGACUGGAGUGCCGGAGGGGUGACUGGAAUUCCCGGUGUAACGGUGAAAUGUGUAGAUAUCGGGAGGAACACCUGUGGCGAAGGCGGGUCACUGGACGGUAACUGACGCUGAUACGCGAAAGCGUGGGUAGCAAACAGG
rnacentral:rRNA from 1 species